rnacentral:misc_RNA from 1 species
UCCAAUUCCACGGACCUGAAAUACCAAGGCAACCAGACCGAGGUCAAUGGGGACUCACAGAAGCAGAAUCAACAGGAAUUUGUUAAGGAAAUGGCGAUUGAUCAAAAUACCUCGGAUGUGAAAACUGAUGUUCCACCAGAUGGCGCUAGCAGUGGUGGCGGUGAUGGUGGUGGUGGUGAUGACGUGGCUGGACCAAAAACUGUUGCCGACAGCAUGCACGGUGUGAUGAUGCAUGGGGAUAAGACACCAGGGAAGGACCACAGCCAUGAACAUAGCGGAUCAGAGAAUGUUGUGGCCACAAACACAAAAGCUGGGCCUCAAGACAUAGAGCAACAAAUGCAUGGAGUUAUGAUGCACGGUGACAGUGCCCCUGGUAAGGAUCACAGCCACGAACGUGGUGACCCACAGAAUGCUGCUCACACAAACACAAAAGCUGGGCCUCAAGACAUAGAACAACAAAUGCAUGGAGUUAUGAUGCACGGUGACAGUGCCCCUGGUAAGGAUCACAGCCAUGAACAUGGUGACCCACAGAAUGUUGCACACACAAAUACAAAAGCUGGGCCUCAAGACAUAGAACAACAAAUGCAUGGAGUUUUGAUGCAUGGUGACAGUGCCCCUGGUAAGGAUCACAGCCAUGAACAUGGUGACCCACAGAAUGUUGCACACACAAAUACAAAAGCUGGGCCUCAAGACAUAGAACAACAAAUGCAUGGAGUUUUGAUGCAUGGUGACAGUGCCCCUGGUAAGGAUCACAGCCAUGAACAUGGUGACCCACAGAAUGUUGCACACACAAAUACAAAAGCUGGGCCUCAAGACAUAGAACAACAAAUGCAUGGAGUUUUGAUGCAUGGUGACAGUGCCCCUGGUAAGGAUCACAGCCAUGAACAUGGUGACCCACAGAAUGUUGUGGCCACAAACACAAAAGCAGGACCUCAAGACAUAGAACAACAAAUGCAUGGAGUUAUGAUGCAUGGGGACAAUGUCCCUGGUAAGGAUCACAGCCAUGAACAUGGUGACCCACAGAAUGUUGUGGCCACAAACACAAAAGCUGGGCCUCAAGACAUAGAGCAACAAAUGCAUGGAGUUUUGAUGCACGGUGACAGUGCCCCUGGUAAGGAUCACAGCCAUGAACAUAGCGGAUCAGAGAAUGUUGUGGCCACAAACACAAAAGCUGGGCCUCAAGAUAUAGCAGAACAAAUGCAUGGAGUUAUGAUGCAUGGUGACUCACAGGCUGGCCUUCUUCAUCACACCAAGGACAAUGCCAAAAAAUCUAUAAACCCUAAAUUUAGGGGUCAAUUUAAUGUUCAGAAUUAUGAAGAGUAUUUACAUGGUGUAAUGAUGCAUGGCGACUCGAAACCUGGAAACGACCACCAUGGCCAUUCAGGAGAAGAGGAAAAUACUGCUGACAAGAAGAAAAAAGAAGGAACGGUAAAUAGUCCAAUGGACUAUGAGGAAUAUCUUCAUGGAGUUCUUAUGCAUAAUGACGCCAAACCAGGAGAAAGUCAUGUCCAUGAAGAUGAGAAAAAGUUCCAGAAAGUUCGUAAAACAGAUAAACCAGCGAGUCCUUCAGAUGCCGAAGAAUUAAUACAUGGUCUUUUAAUGCAUAAUGAUGCGAGAUCUGGUUAUAAACAUCAUGAACAUGAGAAAAAGGAAAAGGCUGACCCUCUUUCACAACCUGGGAGUGUUUUGGCUCCUGAUAUCGAUGCUCUAGAUAAGAGUUUAAGCAACGACAAGGUACCUGAUGGAGCAUCAUUUGCAAAGAGAAAAAUUGUAGUGAAAGGUGGUAAAGACAAAGACCUGGAAGAAAAUGUGAAACCGGUGGAAGAAAGCCGAAUUAGCGGUUAUUUAUAUUCUAUUUACAAAACAAUUCAUGAUAUGAAGGAGAAAUAUUUUAAUCUAGAUAAGAAUAAUAAUAACAAUGAUAGAAAGGAAAGAAGUCAUAAAACGGAAAAAGCUUCUGAAGAAGGGGUGGGUGUAAUUACGGCCGAAGAAGCCCGCAAACAUCUUUCGCCUACCCAUGAACACAAGCCUGGUGACAUGCGCAGUGAUCUCGAUUUAAUUGGAAAUACUGCGCCUCUUCAUAUGAACCAUAGAGCUCAUAGAGAUAAUGGAAAGAAACAUAAACACGAUGAAGGCUAACAAAACACACACAUACACACACACACACACAUACACACACACACAUACACGCGCACACACACACACACACACACACACACACACACACACACACACACACACACACACACACACACACACACACACACAAACACACACA